UGUAGUGAAGGGAAGGAUUUAAGGGAAGGCUAGGCUUCGCUGAGAGCAACUGCUGGGAGGGUAGGCCUUUCCCAAUAAGGGGGAAAGCCCGGGAAAAUCAAAACAGAAGGAUCAAUCCAAAGAACUCAGCAGGAACUACACUCACGGCCACCACCAGCAGAAGAAGAGAAAGCUUUGUUUGUUCUUUUCUAAGAUUGCCAUGAGGAAGCAGGUGUCUGAGAAGCUGCUGGGGAAAUAGGAAGGCCACAGCCUGGAGGCUUGGGGGACAGCAGGAAGAUUCCUGCCUGCAAGGUUUGAUGUCGUGGACCUGGAGGACAUCUGGCGCACUGCCACUCAGACAACUAACCGCCUGCUGGGAUAUGUCCUGUGAGGAUGAAUAAACCAAAUCCAGCUCUCUGGGACUCAGUGCAUCACUCGAGUCAUAGUCACUGUCAGUUGGAAGGAACACUUCAGAGCAACCUUCUUCAUCUGAGUAUGGCUGGGAAUCUGCAAGUGGAAGGAGAAAACUGGUUAACAACUGACAGGACAACAGCAGAGCCUAUUAAUAGAGAACAUUUAUCACAACUAAUCAAUUUUACAGACUUUAUUAAUGAGGGACAUCUUCAGGUGCUGAACAAAGUCUAUGUUCAGACCUAGGGCUAUGUGAUGGAGACACUUUGAAGGGCGUGAGCUCCAGCUGUAUUAUUGGGAUUCUACUGCAUCAGACUAACCGUUUCAAGGUCUUCACAAACUUGUUUGAAGAGUGGAAGAGAUGCUUCAGGCUUCUUGAGACGGACUGCUUGCGACCAACAUUCUGCAGUUUGGAACUCUCUAGAGUAGACAAGUGAAAAAUAAAAUAAAAUGUAUAAAGAAACAAAAACAAAUAAAGAAAGAAAAAACCACAAGCUACUGAAGUCUGUUCCUGUGGGAGACUUAAUACUCAGUUUUAUGGAACAAACCCAGUUGUUUUGAUUGGAGAUAUAAAGCCUGCAUGAGGAUCCAGAUUAAAUUUGAGACUCAUAUAGUUUUCCCUCUGUUUGCUGAAGCAAAAAAUAAAAAUAAAAAAAAAUACUGCAUAUAUUGCUAGCUUUUUAGAUAUUCUCAAAAGAGAGUUCUCCUAAAUCUGUCAAGCUAAAAGAAGGCAUCUAACUGAAUCUUCUUAACCAGUUUGAACACAUUUGUUAUUGUCAAAACCCAUAUGAAUAAGCAUCCAACAUAUUUUUUAGAAAAAAUAUGAAUAUAUUUAAACCCUAAUUUGCACAU